AUUUUAGAUUCAGGGCUGCCCAUAUAAGCAGGGCAUUUUGCUGCUGGGAAGCCAGGCAAUAACAUUGCCUGGCUGUAAGGCUGUUGGUAUUAUCUGGAGUGGUGACCCCAGAUCUUACCUGCCACGUCUUGAUGUUAAAGGAUUUGUACUGGGAGUGUGCAACUUAAACACCACUGGACAAAUGGGAUACUGAUAAAUUCCCUUGAGUUUUGAAUUUUCCCAUAAAAUGAACUGUAUUGCCAUAUCCUGGAUUGGGGGAAAUGACAGAAGCCUGUCCCCCAAGCUACUGAUCAAUACUUUCUCCCAUGGAGAUAAUUAUUCUGUGCAAGACCCCUAUCUAAGCAUUCCAAAAUACACUCGGGUAUCAUAAACAAAGAUGAGUUCCUGUCCUUUGGGCUCGAUGAGCCUAAUUUCCCUUUCCUUGAGUCUAACAAAAAAAUCGGUGCCUUCCCCCUUAAGCACCCUAAACAGUGUUGGGAUUAUUGUAUUUAUGUUUCUUCUUUACAAAGGUGAUCUAGCCUGACCUGACUUUGUAAUAAAAAAUAAGAAAAGUUUUACUUGUCCCUGUAGGACUCAGCCAUUUCUUCUUGGCUAGCCCUCUGCUUCCUGAAGUCGUGCCAGCUCCCGAAUCAUGUUCCCAGCAAUGAUUCCUCAGGCAGGAUCUGCCAGCUUGAUGCUGUUCUCUGUCUUCCCCAGCCAGCUGACAUC